UACGUAGGGAGCAAGCGUUGUUCGGAUUUACUGGGCGUAAAGGGCGCGUAGGCGGCCACUGCAAGUCAGUUGUGAAAUCUCCGGGCUUAACCCGGAAAGGUCAACUGAUACUGCAGGGCUAGAGUGCAGAAGGGGCAACUGGAAUUCUCGGUGUAGCGGUGAAAUGCGUAGAUAUCGAGAGGAACACCUGCGGCGAAGGCGGGUUGCUGGGCUGACACUGACGCUGAGGCGCGAAAGCCAGGGGAGCGAACGGG
rnacentral:rRNA from 1 species